rnacentral:lncRNA from 1 species
CUCAAAAAAAAAAAGCAGAGAACGGACCCCUCACUAGACACUGGGGCUUUUUUCUGAAGGCUACUGUGUCAUAUAAAAUUUAUAUUAAAUAAAUUGAUAUGCUUUUCUCUUGUUAAUCUGUCCUUUGUUAGAGGGGUGUCAACCAGGAACCUUGUGAUGCGUGAGGAAAAAAUAUUACCUUUUCCCCCUACUCUUUCUGGCACCCAACAAACAAGUGGGGUGGCAAAGACACCCCACUUGGGACAACUGGCAAAAGGCUGGAGUGCAGUGGCAUGGUGGCAUGAUCUUGGCUCACUGCAACUGCUGCAUCCUGGGCUCAACUGAUUCUUCUGCCUCAGCCUCCUGAGUAGCUGGGACUACAGGCACACACUACCACGUCCAGGUA